CAGUAGCCGCGGUAAUACAGAGGAUGCAAGCGUUAAUCGAAAUUACUGGGCGUAAAGCGUGCGCAGGCGGUUACAUAAGUCAGAUGUGAAAUCCCCGGGCUCAACCUGGGAACUGCAUUUGAGACUGUAUGGCUAGAGUGUGUCAGAGGGGGGUAGAAUUCCACGUGUAGCAGUGAAAUGCGUAGAUAUGUGGAGGAAUACCGAUGGCGAAGGCAGCCCCCUGGGAUAACACUGACGCUCAUGCACGAAAGCGUGGGGAGCAAACAGGAUUAGAUACCCCAGUAGUCCCUGUCUCUUAUAC
rnacentral:rRNA from 1 species